rnacentral:lncRNA from 1 species
GUUUAUGCCUGUCCAAAUUCCUGUGUUGAAAUCCUAACCUCCCUUGUGAUGCUAUUUGGAGGUAGAGCCUUUGGAAGCUAAUCGGAUCAUGAGGGUAGAGCCUUCAGGAAUAAGACUGGUACCCUUGUAAAGAAAUUACAGAAAGUUCUCUUGCCCCUUUAACCUUGUGAGGACACAGCAAGAAGGGGCCAUUUAUGGAACAGGAGGUGGUCCUCACCAGACACCGAAUCUGUCAGUGCCUCAACCUUGGUCUUCCCAGCCUACAUAAAUUUGAGAAUAAAUUCUGCUGUUGGUUUGGAAUCACUGAUGUGAGAGAAAGAAUCUGCAUCACCUUGAAAUGCACUAUUUUCAAUAGCAAAGACUUGGAACCAACCCAAAUGCCCAUCAAUGAUAGACUGGAUAAAGAAAAUGUGGCACAUAUACACCACGGAAUACUAUGAAGCCAUAAAAAAGGAUGAGUUCAUGUCCUUUGCAGGGACAUGGAUGAACUGGAAACCAUCAUUCUCAGCAAACUAACACAGGAACAGAAAACGAAACACUGCACGUUCUCAUUCAAAAGUGGAAGUUGAACAAUGGGAACACAUGGACACAGGGAGGGGAACAUCACACACUGGGAUCUGUCUGGGAGUGGGGAGCAAGGGGAGGGAGAGCAUUAGGACAAAAGCUAAUGCAUGUGAAGAUUAAAACCUAGAUGACUGGUUGAUGGAUGCAGCAAACCACCAUGGCACAUGUAUACUUACAUAACAAACCUGCAUGUUCUGUACAUGUAUCCCAGAAUUUAAAGCAAAAUAAAAAAAAGAAUAAGAAAAAAUGAGAAGUGAAAAAAACUGGCUGCACUCAUAUUUAACUUAAGUGCUUUUAUCAAC